CUUUACUGUUUUUUGAUAAACCAGUGGUAAAUUAGGGCCUACCUAGAACCUUCAAGGAGGUUGUGAAGGGUGAAUAGUUGAUGCAUGUUGAAAGUAGGCCCAAGGUGGAACCUUUUGUGAAGGAUAAAGAAGAGGAAGAGCCCUUGAUUUAUAUUCCUAAAACUAACAAUGCACGGCUGAAAUGAAGUGCUAUUGGGACCCUCCAAGAUGGUUGUUCAACAGGUG
rnacentral:lncRNA from 1 species